ACCCUCCCACACAGUACAGUAACUUAUAUACAUACCUGGAGGAAGGAAUGCUUUGCUUUGGGCUUCCUAAAAAUAUUUGGUGAUGGCUGCACCCUCCAACAUGCUCAUAGGACCGGGCACUGAUGCACCCACAAAGGCUGGCCUAGACCACCAUCUGCUAAAGGCUACUCGGAGGUUCCGGAUUCUAGUCGAGGGAACAAGAGGAAGACUCCAGUGCCUGUAAGACCAGAAUGCUAUUACUGGAGGGGGUCCUCAGCAGAUUCCUCUAUCACCCAGCUUCUCCACUUUUGUUCCCUGCAAUGCAUAAGAUGAGCACUCAUGUCAAAUGCAGAAUGGGAAGAGCUGGCAUGCAGGGCACGAAGCACAGGAAUCAGCAUGAGUCUGCCCAGCAACAGCAGAAGAAUCUGCCCAAGUGCUUGCUAGAUGGAGUGGCCACGCUCUUCUGCCACAUGCAGUCCAUCAGAGACCAGAAGGGAGGUAGCAGGGUCUGUUGAUAUAAACAUGAAGGAGCACUCUAUGUACCAGAGGGUUUUGUACUAGUGCCCAUCAAAAUCAUUGUCUAUGCCCCAGGUUAUUUAGAUUGGCAUAUGCAACUGUGUGUGUUGCGUGUGCCUAGCACUCUGCAGGUAAUAUGACAGAUUAGAAUGAAUCAGCUAGUGGCAAUACAUUGCUGAUGGCUUUGAAAAUGGUGAUGUAAAUCGAGGACCAUGUGGUCUAGGGUGACCACCCAACCUUUUUUUAAGGAACUGUCCCUUAUUUAAUUGAUUUGUCCCUGAGGGUGACCACCCAUCCCUUAUUUUAAGAUGUAUUGAAAUGUUUUAAAACUGAUAGUGUGUCAUUUUAAACAUUAAAUUAAUGCUCAUGAUGAUUGCAUUGUAUACUUGAGGGCAGUAGAAAUGCACACUGGAGAGAAAAAUACAUGAUAUGCUACGGGCAAUGGUGUUUCCUUAAAACGUCCCUUACGAUGUCCUUUAUGUUUCAUGUGGUUUUCUCUUAUUCCCACCUGACAAAGGUGGUUACCCUAUGCAGUCCUUAUUUUGUGAUAGGUUUAGGAAUGCAAAGGCAUGAAUGAAGAAUCCAGUGCACAUAUAGAGAAUGCAUUAUUAUGCAUCCCAUUAUUACAUCAGUAUUUAUAUGUGUGUAUAAAAUAGAUAUAAUAUUAUGAUAAAAUUGUGGGAAAGGAUCAGAUUUUAACUGAAUGAAGCAAGAUAAUUCAAAGUGUAAGUCACUCAUUUGUGCCCGGAGCUGAUAUAGUUUGUGUUCUGUCAGGUCAUCCGUUAUGCCCCGGGCUCCUAAUACCAGGCUUUACUACUAGGUUGAAAUACUUAAGUCUGAUGGGAGGGGCCAAGUUGUGAAGUUGACCCCAGCUGGUAGUUCUAAGCUCAGAGAGUGUGCAGGAUCAGGCACAUAGUACUGUGACCGACAACAUUCUUUUAAAGCAACCCUGUAAAACUCUUUUAAAUCCAAUGUUUUGUUUAGUUUAAAAACAAAAAGAGUGUCUGGAGAAGGGCUACAUGCUCUGACAGGAAAAGGCAUGUUCUCCUGAUUUAAAAAAAAAACAAAUUAAAACCAUUUCUUCUUCAUAUUAAAAUGUUUAUGUGUGAUGUUAGAAAGCCAAACGCAACAGAUUUGUACUUGUAGAUGAUGGUGAGGAGGUGAAAAUGGCUAGACAGUGAAAAUGACUGGCUGAUUUUCACUGGCCAAGCUGAGUGAAAUGAGACAGGAAAAAUAAAUAAACAUACGUGGUGAGAUAUCACAUUAGAUUUAUUUAAUGCUUUCAGUUUUGAUAAUCUAAGAUACUAUUAGACACAAAGGUU